UGCGUAGGCGGUCCCGCAAGUCCGCUGUGAAAUCCCCGGGCUUAACCUGGGAAUGGCAGUGGAAACUAGGGGACUUGAAUCUGGCAGAGGGGGGUGGAAUGCCACGUGUAGCAGUGAAAUGCGUAGAGAUGUGGCGGAACACCGAUGGCGAAGGCAGCCCCCUGGGCUGAGAUUGACGCUCAGGCACGAAAGCGUGGGGAGCAAACAGGAUUAGAUACCCUGGUAGUCCACGCCCUAAACGAUGAUCACUAGGUGUUGGGGAAGCGAUUUCUCAGUACCGCAGCUAACGCGUGAAGUGAUCCGCUGGGGAGUACGGUCGCAAGAUUAAA
rnacentral:rRNA from 1 species